ACAGCCUGCACCAGCAAUGGUGGU
rnacentral:siRNA from 1 species